UACGAAGGGGGCUAGCGUUGUUCGGAGUUACUGGGCGUAAAGGGCGCGUAGGCGGCGCACCAAGUCAGGGGUGAAAUCCUGGAGCUCAACUCCAGAACUGCCUUUGAUACUGAGGAUCUUGAGUUCGGGAGAGGUGAGUGGAACUGCGAGUGUAGAGGUGAAAUUCGUAGAUAUCAGGAGGAACACCUGUGGCGAAAGCGGCUCACUGGACCAUAACUGACGCUGAUGCACGAAAGCUAGGGGGAGCAAACAGG
rnacentral:rRNA from 1 species